ACGCUCGACACCUACGGGAGGCAGCAGUGGGGAAUAUUGCACAAUGGGGGAAACCCUGAUGCAGCGACGCCGCGUGAGCGAAGAAGUAUUUCGGUAUGUAAAGCUCUAUCAGCAGGGAAGAAACUGACGGUACCUGACUAAGAAGCACCGGCUAAAUACGUGCCAGCAGCCGUGGUAAUCUGAGCGGGCUGGCAAGGC
rnacentral:rRNA from 1 species